rnacentral:rRNA from 1 species
AUUGAACGCUGGCGGCAGGCCUAACACAUGCAAGUCGAGCGGAUGAAGGGAGCUUGCUCCUGGAUUCAGCGGCGGACGGGUGAGUAAUGCCUAGGAAUCUGCCUGGUAGUGGGGGAUAACGUCCGGAAACGGGCGCUAAUACCGCUUACGUCCUGAGGGAGAAAGUGGGGGAUCUUCGGACCUCACGCUAUCAGAUGAGCCUAGGUCGGAUUAGCUAGUUGGUGGGGUAAAGGCCUACCAAGGCGACGAUCCGUAACUGGUCUGAGAGGAUGAUCAGUCACACUGGAACUGAGACACGGUCCAGACUACUAUGGGACGCAGCAGUGGGGAGUAUUGGACUAUGGGAGAAAUCAUGAUCCAGUCAUGCCGCGUGUGUGAAGAAGGUCUUCGGAUUGGAAAUCACUUCAAGUUAGGAGGAGGGGUAGUAAGUUAAUACCGUGCUGUUUUGACGUUACCAACAGAAUAAGCACCGGCUAACUUCGUG